rnacentral:tRNA from 2 species
GGAGGCGACAGGGGUCUGGUGGCCCUCCUGGUCUUCAAAACCAGAGACACGUCGACAAGGCGUGUGGUGGGUUCGAUUCCCAUCCGCCUCC